UGGUGGAGUGAUUUGUCUGGUUUAUUCCGUUAACGAACGAGACCUCAACUUACUAAAUAGUGAUUCGAACCUUCAAUUCGGGUGAAGUUUCAGGUCCGAAGUGGUGGCUUGCCAUCCACUUCACCUGGGAUGGAUCCUUGAUGCGUUUGGGGAAACUUCUUAGAAGGACUAUUAGCGGCAAGUUAAUGGAAGUUUGAGGCAAUAACA
rnacentral:rRNA from 1 species